UACGUAGGUGGCAAGCGUUGUCCGGAAUUACUGGGCGUAAAGGGCGCGUAGGCGGCUUAUCAAGUCAGGCGUGAAAUUCCCGGGCUCAACCUGGGGGCUGCGCUUGAUACUGAUGAGCUUGAAUGCGGGAGAGGAUAGUGGAAUUCCCAGUGUAGAGGUGAAAUUCGUAGAUAUUGGGAAGAACACCGGUGGCGAAGGCGGCUAUCUGGCCCGUAAUUGACGCUGAGGCGCGAAAGCGUGGGGAGCAAACAGG
rnacentral:rRNA from 1 species